UUAGUAAAGUUUUGACUAGUUUUGUGAUAUCGAAAACCCUGGUGUAAUAAUCUUUCAGUAAUACAUAAAUUUCUCUCGCAUAAAUCUUAUACGUUGUCACAAAUACGAGCGAAUCGUGCAAGUUGAGAUAUAUAAACACCAUAAGAUGGUGACAAGGGAACGUCACCAUCUAAAAAUGGAUAAUUAACGAUAUAUAUAUAGGAAAUGAAAAAUCAUCUCUUUUAUCAGAAAUUUUUGUAUUAAGCUACCGUUAAUGAUAUACUGAGAUAUCAAGAUCGAGGAAAGGGCAGUGGUAAUUGUUAGUAUUAGCUUUAUUUAAAGUAAGUUCAACAGGAUAAAUUUCUUUAGUACACAUACUGAAGUCGUCAUUAUUAAGAGCCAAUAUAUCAUCCAAAUAUCUAAAAGUAUUGUUAAAUUUUUGUAUCAAAUGUUGUUUCGAUGGGUCUUUGCUAAUUUUAGUCAUAAAUUGUAACUCAUAUCAAUACAAAAACAGGUCCACAAUAAGUGGUGCACAGUUAGUCCCCAUUGGAAUUCCAAUAACUUGACGAUAUACGGAAUCUCCAAA
rnacentral:lncRNA from 1 species